AUGCAAGUCGAGCGAACUGAUUAGAAGCUUGCUUCUAUGACGUUAGCGGCGGACGGGUGAGUAACACGUGGGCAACCUGCCUGUAAGACUGGGAUAACUUCGGGAAACCGAAGCUAAUACCGGAUAGGAUCUUCUCCUUCAUGGGAGAUGAUUGAAAGAUGGUUUCGGCUAUCACUUACAGAUGGGCCCGCGGUGCAUUAGCUAGUUGGUGAGGUAACGGCUCACCAAGGCAACGAUGCAUAGCCGACCUGAGAGGGUGAUCGGCCACACUGGGACUGAGACACGGCCCAGACUCCUACGGGAGGCAGCAGUAGGGAAUCUUCCGCAAUGGACGAAAGUCUGACGGAGCAACGCCGCGUGAGUGAUGAAGGCUUUCGGGUCGUAAAACUCUGUUGUUAGGGAAGAACAAGUACAAGAGUAACUGCUUGUACCUUGACGGUACCUAACCAGAAAGCCACGGCUAACUACGUGCCAGCAGCCGCGGUAAUACGUAGGUGGCAAGCGUUAUCCGGAAUUAUUGGGCGUAAAGCGCGCGCAGGCGGUUUCUUAAGUCUGAUGUGAAAGCCCACGGCUCAACCGUGGAGGGUCAUUGGAAACUGGGGAACUUGAGUGCAGAAGAGAAAAGCGGAAUUCCACGUGUAGCGGUGAAAUGCGUAGAGAUGUGGAGGAACACCAGUGGCGAAGGCGGCUUUUUGGUCUGUAACUGACGCUGAGGCGCGAAA
rnacentral:rRNA from 1 species